UUAGGAUGGAGAAAGAUGUCACUCAAUGGGAUUACUCAGAAGCCAAAGAGAGGUGGAAAGGCCUCUUUUGGCUGUGACCCCACAGGUUUGUGGCAGAGCCUCCAUCCUGGGGUAAGUAACACACGUCAUUUCGCACUUACAGAACACAAAAAUCCCUAUUUUUGGUGAAUAUAAGUGUUGUGUUUUUGUGGUGUGUUAUGUGUAGGUUUUUAAUCUUCAUGGCAUAUUUAUUUAUUUUGCACUAUUUUAAAAAACCUAUAGCACUUAUUGCACUUUUAAUGUAGUUACCUAUAAAUGACUACGUGUGUGGUGUGUUUAUAUUAAUAAUUUAUUUAUUGUUAUGUAUUUACUUAUUACAUUUUAGCUUAGUGUAGUGCGGAUUAGUUUUUUGUUCGUGUGGGUGCAUGUCAUGUUUCAACUUUGUGCAUGUAAUUCAUCAUUCACCAAUCCCAUUAAAAUGAUAAUAGGGGGAGACGUGUUGCGAAAAGGAAAUCACCCAGAAACGGUAGGUGAGGUGUACGGUAACACCCUGGAAACAGUCCAGGGGACCGCCCUUCUUUAGCAGUGAAUUUUACUGGGUAAGUUUCCUUUGAAUUAUUUAUUAUCUUGGUUUUAAGCCUUGGGGUCUUUUUUUUUUUUUUUUUUUUUUUUAGUGUAUUAAAGGUUCUGCCAUGUGGUUUUUUUUUUUUUUUUCCUUCAUAUUAGUUGGUCUUAUUGAUCUUAUUGUUUUAUUUAAUUUUAUUUUUGGCAUGACAGUUCUUUAUUUAUUGAAUAAAGAUUUUAAUUAUCGGAAAUGAUGAAUGGAGAUAUUAGUUCCCGUCAAUUUGGACAGUGUGUGGAGCCAGACACCUUUGGGUAAGCUGCUGAUCCAUUCUGAUCCGCAGGAAAAAGAGAAAAGAAAAAAAAAAAAAUAUCCAGCAGUGAUUGGAAACCACCAAGAUGCUGAUACGACCAGUGGGUCAUUGACCGGGCCAUGGAUGGGGUUUUUCUACUGGAUUUCGUCACGGAGCGUAAAGGCAAUAAAAUGUUAGUCUCAUGUAAUUAUGAAAAUCAAUGCAUUGAUUGAAACCAUGCUGGAAUUAUGCAUUUAAAUUCAAUUUGCAUCCAUUCGGCUGGGAAACAAACUGCGACAGUGUCCUCGUGGGUAUGUCGUGGCGUCAAUCUGUCAAAUAUUUUUACUUUACUUCAGGUAAGAACUAGAUACGCAGUGAUAUUAAUAAAUUAAUACACAGCUGCGCGCGGAGACCGAUC
rnacentral:lncRNA from 1 species